GAAGGGGGCUAGCGUUGUUCGGAAUUACUGGGCGUAAAGCGCGCGCAGGCGGUUCUUCAAGUCAGAGGUGAAAGCCCAGAGCUCAACUCUGGAAUGGCCUUUGAGACUAGAGAACUAGGGUACGGGAGAGGUGAGUGGAAUUCCGAGUGUAGAGGUGAAAUUCGUAGAUAUUCGGAAGAACACCAGUGGCGAAGGCGGCUCACUGGCCCGUUACCGACGCUCAGGCGCGACAGCGUGGGGAGCAAACAGGAUUAGAUACCCUGGUAGUCCACGCCGUAAACGAUGGAUGCUAGCCGUUGGUAAGCAUGCUUAUCAGUGGCGCAGCUAACGCAUUAAGCGUCCCGCCUGGGGAGUACGGCCGCAAGGUUGAA
rnacentral:rRNA from 1 species